CUAAGUGUCAACUCUCAUAGGUAUUUUAAAUUAAAUCAUUUAUUUUUCGAGUGCUUUAUUUAUUCUGGAAUAAUACGUUGUACAUUAGUUACAGCAUAACAGAAACGGGAGCGUUCUGACAAUGACCCUACCAGUCAUAAAACUCCACACAUGCCAUAACCAAUAUCCAUGCCAGUGUCCUGUUCUCAAAUACACCGAAAGUACAAAAUAUCUAGGAGUGAUAAUAGAUCGACAGCUCACUUGGGAAAAGCACAUUGAUACACAUUACACAGUCUUCUAGGAUCAGAAAGCUUAUGCAUAUCUUUAAUCGACUGAAACGAGUAGCGGAGGACGAAGUUAUUAGAAUAAUUUUUUUUGCACUUUGUCAGUUCUUCCUAAUAUACUGUCUAUCGGGAUAAGGAGGACUAAAGUUGAGGUUCCAGAAUUAGUUCUUUGAGUGAUUUUUCAUAAAAUAUUACAAUAUGUUUUCUCAAUUACUUAAAAUAUAUAAACCAAAGAAUGA